UGGUGAUUUUAGGGAUACUCAAGGCCACAC
rnacentral:piRNA from 1 species